CCAGCAGCGUGGGAUCGUUGGAUGAGCGUCACUUACCGGGGGAGCACGGAUGGGAGUAUUUUCACGGAGCAGGCAAGCCCCGUCCUUGUGGUUUGAUGGUAUGUGGCACAUGUUGGAGGCUGCGGUUCCAAGGCUGCCACGGCAAGCCGUCGUUCCACCACCGCCUUCCCCGCCGCGUGCACCCGGACGACGCCCUCCAAGCCUGGCCAGCGCCGCUCCUCCGCCCUUGAGAAGGUACGUUCUACCCCUGACCCCUUCCGGUCUCGCCCUAGGCCAGAGAGAGAUGUGAUUGAUGUCAGGGGCGGCCGCCUCCGGUAUGCCGCUGCUCCCGACUGCAUAUUGGUCAUUACGCUUUUCUCUGUUUGAUUGCUCAUCUGACACUUCGUAAGUUCAAUUGCUAAUGAAUUUGUUUACUACUACGUCAGAGAAACUAUAAAGGAAUAUAUCAGGAGGUUGCAGCAGAAUCUGCACUGUUGUUGUAUGUUCUGUAACUGUAGAUGUUUGCAUUUAUAUGUGUAUUCAACCUGAACUAUUCCAUCAAGUGAAGUGAUAAAAAGUCAGAGAUAAUGUUUUGCUGUGGUGAAUACUUGCCGGCCUCUUGCAUAUAUAACAGACCGCUUAUUGGAUAUUGGUAUAACAAACUGUUAUAACAGACUGGUGGUGUGACAAUGCAUAUAUAAAAAAUACUAGGUGAGCACACAAAUCAAAUUUUUAGAGUUGGGUUACAAUAUUUAAUGAAAUUUGUUUGGUACUCCCUCCAUAAAGAAAUUUGUUUGGGACGCUCUUAUAUUUCUUUAUAGAGGUAGUACUGUUUAUCUAGAUUUUGGAGUUCACGUUAAUGGAAGGAUAAACUCUUCCAUUAAUGCGGAGUUCACUAGCAUGCUUGACUACAAAGGCGGUGCUUUUACAUGAAGAACUCUUGGUAAUGGUAAUAGUCAAAUGCCACAGAAAGCUAAAUAUAUACGACAUCCAGGUUAAUUUUCUUUCUUUCUUUCUUCAUUUUCCUGAAUAUGUCUGUUCGAUCAGCUCAACAGGACAAAGGUGUGUGUUGUUUCCCUGAUCCCACAAUAUUGGUUUACUAACUAUUAUGUUGAUUUAUCUAUACACUAUGGUGCUCAGGAUAUAUCAGACACGGGCCUUGAUGCUCUGAAAAAAUGUGGGUAUUAACUUCUCCAUCUUUUGUGUCCCUAAUUGCCUGACCUGUUCGCAACCAUACCAGAGAAGCUGCACAUGCUUGUGCUUUGUCAACUGAGAUGCAUUUUUGGCUAUGUAGACGAUCAAGAGGCUAUGUUACGAAACAUUUAUUGAGCAAUGUCCAUUUGCACCCGAGAAAAACAGAUCAUCCACACAGCAGUAGCCCUCACGUGUUCGUGGACAUGCUUUUGCCAUGCCUUCAAAAAGAAUAAAUCUAUGCAAUCUUGAUUUUUAUCUACUUAUGAGAGGGAGGUUGAUAUGGACCUCGAUGAUUAUUAUGUAUGGCGAAAGUCGCUCUCAAGUAAAUUUCUUAGUGCAGAAUGAUGCUCUCCAACAUACAGGUUCAGAUAUGCUUACUACUACAUGGAUUACCUGCCAAGGUACUGAUGCACUAUCUGUGUAUUCUGGAGCAAGACAACUCAGAGCUCUGUUUGAAUGUUUUUUUUUAAUUAAGAAAACAUAUGUUGUCAGCAUUAAUGUAUUUUGUCUUAUGCCACUGCCCAGUAUCAUGUAGAAAUGUUAUUACCUUAAUGGAAGAUCAAAGAAUAAGCUCUUCAAAAACAAAAGGAAAAAAAAUACUUGCUCUGUUCAUACUCAGAUAUUAGACUGAUCUUUGAAGUUUGCAUUUUUGCAAAUUUUGUAUGUAGUUUAUCUAUGAAAAAAUGUUUAAUAUUUUUGUAUGCAUAAAUAUAUCAUUUUGUACCCGUUAGAUGUAAUGGUCAUUUGUUAGUUUAUAGAGGAAAGACUCGCUGAUAACUUUCUCAAUAUCCAUCCGCUCCAGCUGCUGACCGGAUUUAAUAUUGGCUUAGUACAAAAUUGGAACAUAUCAUGAAGUACUACGGUCGUAUCUUUCCAUUUAACUUGAAACUUUUUGUGGUAGCUUGAAACAUAUGCUAAAUGACAAGUUGCUGCACUUUGUGGACAUGAAUCCACAUUACUGUGAGAGAGAGUGUUUUACCGUGACUCUGUGAGAGUCCAAUGUCCAAAACCAAUCCAGAGUUGGUCGAUCGUCUCAUUUCUCUAUGGUCAUCAUUUGGCAGAUAAGAGUAUGUUUUCGUCAAUGCAAUCACAACAUCUUCCUCAUACUAGUAAGUUUGCACGUGCAAACGCACGUCUCCACUAAUAUUACAAACAUACGAGACAAUUAAAAUGCACAGAAAGAAUUUUGUUUGCACUAGGUAUUGAUUCAAGUUGAUUGAUCAGGGCAGAGCAUUGCAUUGACAAUACCCAACAUCAAGUUCUUGUCAAUUGGGUAAAUGCAAGAGAGCAUAAUACUUGGUGCAACACUUGAAUAUACAUACAACUAAUACUGGUGGAAAGCUCACAUACACGAAGCGCAGAGCUUUGCCAGAUAAACUUCCACGUGAAAAUAUGGCAACCCACAAUUGUGAUAUCUCAAUAUAUCACAUUACAGACAUGUAAGACAGCAGUCUAAGAAACACUUUUAAUUACACUAACAUUUGGGGUAUUUGAGAUACUUGUCAUGAAUAAUUUCUCACAUCAACAUCAUUGCAACUUAGCACAAUUCAUUUUCUUUUCUGCACAAGGUCAAUCUUAUUUCUUCUAACCUGUCUGCUCUAUGGAUCUUGGAGCUGCAGGCAGAUGGACACAUCUCAGUUCUAAGCAUGUUUGUAAGCAAAAUUAUACCUAACGAUAUAAUCUACACAAAACUAAUGCUCAGGCAUAAAUACUAAAAAAUCAAUGGCUUAGCAGUUGAUGGUGAAAGUACAUUACAAGUUGAAGUUUCUGGUUCCAACAAAUCCCAGCUAUUGGUUUCCGUCAGCUGGUAUUAACCAAGGUUUGUGCUUCACUUAUGGAGGUCGCUAGUAGAAACUAUUUGUGCGUACAAGUGUUUUUCAAGCUAUAACAUUUUAACUUAGGUUCCAUUUUCAUCCAUCACUACACAUUUUAAUUUUGGUGUGCAGGAAAAAAAAUACCUUGAUGACUAUGCUCGGUGCAGAAGAAGUCAUCAUCAUCUAGAUUGACAUUGACAUGCCGUUCAUCAAAAUCCAUGAAAAGCAUGGGUGCUCCAUCUCCAUAUCCAUGAUGUUCUCUCGUAGAGUUACUUCUUCAUACCUGCAAGAAGCAACACUUUUAGAUAAAAAUGAUAUUGCUUUCCUAUUGUUAUGACAUAUCAUUCUCGAUCAAACCAUUUUGUACCCAUUCUAUGCUAGUUUUACAGAUGUGAAGUGAAAAGGUGUAUGAAAGAUCUAA